rnacentral:rRNA from 1 species
AGAUUGAACGCUGGCGGCAGGCCUAACACAUGCAAGUCGAGCGGUAGAGAGGUGCUUGCAUCUCUCGAGAGCGGCGGACGGGUGAGUAAUGCCUAGGAAUCUGCCUAGUGGUGGGGGAUAACGUUCGGAAACGGACGCUAAUACCGCAUACGUCCUACGGGAGAAAGCGGGGGACCUUCGGGCCUCGCGCCAUUAGAUGAGCCUAGGUCGGAUUAGCUAGUUGGUGAGGUAAUGGCUCACCAAGGCGACGAUCCGUAACUGGUCUGAGAGGAUGAUCAGUCACACUGGAACUGAGACACGGUCCAAGACUCCUACGGGAGGCAGCAGUGGGAAUAUUGGACAAUGGGCGAAAGCCUGAUCCAGCCAUGCCGCGUGUGUGAAAGAAGGUCUUCGGAAUUAGUAAAAGCUAACGUUUUAAGGUUGGGAAGGUAAAGGGUUAGUAAACCUAAUACCGUUGACAACUUUGAACGUUUACCGACGAAGAAUAAAGCAACCGGUACUAAACGUUCGUAGCCAAGCACGACCCG